rnacentral:lncRNA from 1 species
UAAAGAGGUAAUAUAUAUAUAUAUAGAGAGAGAGGGAGAGAGAGAAAGAGAGAGUCUGGCUGGGAUACUGUCGAUAACACCAAGGAUUUGGUGCUAUCGAGUUUUCCACCGUUAGGUUUAACUCUUUAAUUAUUUUUACCCGUUAAAUUAUACUAUUCAACUAAUCACUUACUCAAUCCUAGGAGGCCCAUAUCAUCCUAACCACACAUUUCUCAAUCCAAGGGUUAAAAAACUAAUAGCACCAAUAGCUUGGUGCUAUUGAUAGUAUUCCAGCCUAGUUUUAUAUAUAUAUAUAGAGUAGGGCUAGAAUACUUUUACAAGUAUCACCCAAGUGAUACUUGUGUGUUUUUAGCCCUUGGAUGGAGAGAUGUGAGGUUGAGAUGAUGGUGGUAGGUGGUGGUAGGUGGUGGUAGGUGGAAUAGUGUUUGAUCCAAGGGCUAUUUAUAAUUAAAAAGUAAAUCCAAUGGCUAAAAACGUGAUAGCAACAUGGAGAUGAUACUCGUAAAAGUAUCCUAGAUCAACUCUAUAUAUAUAUAUAUAUAUAUAUAUAUAUAUAUAUAUAUAUAGUUAGGCUCUUACACUUUCAAAAAUACAAAAGCCUCCAUUCCCGUAAGAAACCAAAUUUUAUAAUUUUUUGACUUUAUUUACGUAGUGAAAGAGUAGUCUCAAAAUGAACGACUGAAAAUAAAAAUCUCAUAAAAAACGGUGAUAAAAGAUUCAAAUUUCGAAUUGAAAGUAUUGAUCUUACUUUUGAUGUCAAGGAGAAUUUUCUAUUAAAGUUUCAUAUAAUUUGAAUUGUUAUACACCGUUGAACUUACAAAUGUACCACAUCGGUUAUUAAAAUAAUUAUUUUUGAGACCAUUUGAUCACUCGGUAAAUGAUGUCGAAAAAUUAUGAAAUAUGGUUUCUAAAUAAUUCUAAUAGCAUGGAUCAUAUCUAACGAAGCCGAUCGUCGAUUCGGAUGUCUUAUCAUCGAAAAUAACUUACAAGUAUGGAGUCCUCCGUACUUUCAAAAGCAUAGGAGUCGUACUCUAUAUAUAUAUAAAGGUUUUGAUUC